rnacentral:rRNA from 1 species
AGAACGAACGCUGGCGGCAUGCCUAAUACAUGCAAGUCGAACGAGAUCCUUCGGGGUCUAGUGGCGCACGGGUGCGUAACGCGUGGGAAUCUACCCUUGGGUUCGGAAUAACAGUUGGAAACGACUGCUAAUACCGGAUGAUGACGAAAGUCCAAAGAUUUAUCGCCCAGGGAUGAGCCCGCGUAGGAUUAGCUAGUUGGUGAGGUAAAGGCUCACCAAGGCUACGAUCCUUAGCUGGUCUGAGAGGAUGAUCAGCCACACUGGGACUGAGACACGGCCCAGACUCCUACGGGAGGCAGCAGUAGGGAAUAUUGGACAAUGGGGGCAACCCUGAUCCAGCAAUGCCGCGUGAGUGAUGAAGGCCUUAGGGUUGUAAAGCUCUUUACCCGAGAUGAUAAUGACAGUAUCGGGAAGAAUAAAGCUACCGGACUAACUCCGUGCCAGCAGCCGC